AUCUCUGAGUUAGAGUAAACUGUCAAGACUUAAAACUUACUUACUUUACCUUUCACCAUGGGACUUGUAACCGUCACUUCUGUCUUGAGUAGUUAAAAGAUAGAACAGUCUAGCCAAGUGCCAUGUCUUUUAUUCUUGAUCAGCUAUAGCUCUGGAGUUUUUGCAGAUUUUCAAAUAAAACUCAGAGAUUCCUUGUAUGACUCUCUGAGAUCUCUCUUUUGUGGUAUUUCUGGAUCCUUACCAAGGCAGUGAUGGUAUAUGCCUUCUCUCAAAGUAUGUGGUAUUUAUGGUAUAAGGCAUAGUGACAUUGCCUUCUCUCUCAUCCUACUCUAAUAAGGCUUUAAUAUCUGGAGCUCAUAGGUGGGAGAUAAAGUAAUACAUACUCACAAGACAUUUAUUGUAUAGUCAAACCAUGGAUCCAAAGAAACAAAUCAAUAAGUCAAAUCAAGAUGUGCAUGUGUGGCGAAUGAAUGGCGUAUGGUGAUAACAAUGGUGAAAGUCUAAUUCUACUUUUGCUCUUUUGAGGGGAUACAUACCUUCCUUGCUUUUUUGAAACUUUUUGAGGAGAAUGAGAUGCUUUUCUUUUUCUUACCUCUCAGGUGGGUAGUUUGUACCCCUAAUUCUAGUGUCGGACACUUGUCCAUUUUUACCUCUCGUCUCACUUUUUCUUUUCUUUCGAGGUUCCGGGCACUUGCCCCUUUUUAUUUCCUCGUAUCUCUUUUUUUAGAGCACUCAUCUCAUGAAUUAAUAUAGCAAGUGGUAGUAACCAAGAUAACUUGAGCAUUUAUUUCAUAGGGAAAAACAGGAAUGGGAUAAUGUUUUUGGCUAUUCUCUCCCGGAUUAGGAGUAGAAUAUUUUUGGGUGGUUCUGGAGAUGGAAAUGGGUGGAUAUAUGUGGAUGCGUACUUCCGGAGUAGAAGCAGCAUGUGUGAGUGAACGUGCAAGU
rnacentral:lncRNA from 1 species